GGACAGGUGGCUGAGUGGUUUAAGGCACUCGACUCGAAAUCGAGCGUGCCCUCUAAAGGCACCGUGGGUUCGACUCCCACCCUGUCCG
rnacentral:tRNA from 1 species